rnacentral:rRNA from 1 species
GUCUACGGUCAUGCCACCCUGAACAAGCCCGAUCCCGUCUGAUCUCAGAAGCUAAGCAAGGGGGGGCCUGGUUAGGGGGCAUAUACA